CACAUGCAUGUUUAUCUCUUUAAUUCCUCUGUGAAUCUAACAUACAGAUGACUAGGUCCCAUAGGACACAGGAAAAAAAGCAACAUGUUGCGAACAAGUGUCAAAAUAAAGCACUGAAUUAGUCUUUAAGCCUUGCUAACCACUAAUUGAAGUAGCUUUGAUAAAAACUAUUUGAGGCCAGCACAGUGGCUCACACCUGCAAUCCCACCACUUAGGGGCAAGCAGUGAGGCUAAGGCAGAUCACUUGAGGUGUGAGCCACAGCACCCGGCCAAUUGAUAUACUUUUGAUUAAAGCUGUUUACAUUAGUCUCUCCCACUAAACUGGGUUCCCAGGCUUACAAGGGCAAUGACUGGGGAUCUCAUUCAUUGUCAUACUCUGUCUACACGAAAUAUUCAGCAGGUGUCAAGUCUGCCAUUUUCCUUUAAAUUAAGAACACAGUUAUUUGGUUGGGCUGUAUUUGAUGGGGGUAGGGGUAAGGAAGGGGAAAAAAACUGAGGGAAAACUGUCCUCUCUUAAAUACAUAGGACAUGAAGAGGAACUGAGUUUGCUUUCAUUAUAAACUCAAGCCUGCCUCAAAAUACCAGAUUCUUUUCCCAUGUCCUUGUGCUUGCCAAACGCAUGAAUUUAGACUCACCCACAAUGUAAAACUCCAAAACCUUCAAUUUGGCCUAACUUAGAAUUCAUAAAUUUGGCUAAGCAAAUAAUAUGCAAGAGUGAAUUGUGACAUUGUAUUUACCCUAACUAUGGUGUUUCCAAAUACAUUUUAAAAGAGCACCUUAACAGUUUUCACUUCAGACAAAUCAGAUAAUAAGGACACCCAGUUGAAGUCACUAAUCUAUGUUACUAGUUAAUAAUGGCCCUAGUACUAGAACCAUUCAAAUUACUUUCUUUAAAUAUUCAAAUUAAACUACCAUUCUCCUUAAUACACUGAUGUUCUCACAAACCAGUACAGCACAACUCAGUAUAAUUUAUGUUUCUGUAGAUUCUUUCAAGGGGCCCUAUUACUUCACCACAACACUGUCUUAACCACAUGAAUUAGAGGUAUGAACCCUAAGAGUAAGAAUGC
rnacentral:lncRNA from 10 species